AACGAACGCUGGCGGCAUGCCUAACACAUGCAAGUCGAACGAGACCUUCGGGUCUAGUGGCGCACGGGUGCGUAACGCGUGGGAACCUGCCCUUAGGUUCGGAAUAACUCCCCGACAGGGGUGCUAAUACCGGAUAAUGUCUUCGGACCAAAGAUUUAUCGCCUUUGGAUGUGCCCGCGUUGGAUUAGCUAGUUGGUAGGGUAAAAGCCUACCAAGGCGACGAUCCAUAACUGGUCUGAGAGGAUGAUCAGCCACACUGGGACUGAGACACGGCCCAGACUCCUACGGGAGGCAGCAGUGGGGAAUAUUGGACAAGGGGCGAAAGCCUGAUACAGCAAUGCCGCGUGAGUGAUGAAGGCCGUAGAGUUGUAAAGCUCUUUUAACCGGGAUGAUAAUGACAGUACCGGGAGAAUAAGCCCCGGCUAACUCCGUG
rnacentral:rRNA from 1 species